rnacentral:lncRNA from 1 species
UUAACAAACCAAAGCCGUUACCAACAUGAGUUUAAGUGUUGAUUUGACUCUUCUACUAAUUUUAUUUGCAUAAUUACUUUGAAUAUGACUUUUAGAAUGCUACGAAUUUCAUUAUGAUCAUAUGUAGACUUAUUUUUAAGAGCACUCUUGUUUCUUUUCAAGAAUAUGAAAUAGUCAUAUGAAUCCUUUAAAUUCUAAGUUUAUUUAUCAAUCUAUGCAUGUAUGUUUAAUCGUAAAACAAACAUGUUUAAGGCAUUUUUGAGUUAAUUAACUAAUUUAACAUAUGUGAAUUUAUUUGUCAUUCCUAAAUACGAUUUUCACCAAUAGUUUGAAUCAAACUUAUUGUUAACAAGUGUUAUCAUCAAAAUUAAAUAUGUCAUUAUUUCAACAAAUGGUUCAUUAACUAAUUCUUUGUAUGUUGAAAUAAUCAUCAACCUAAUCUUAAAAGGGGUUUACGAAUGAAUCAAAAUUUCAUACAACAACAAACCAAAUUUGAGCUUAGCUCAAGAGAUUGUACAUAAAUUGGCAAAAACAUAAAGAAUUACUGAAAUGAUGUGGUAAUUCACAAUUUUUAAGAAUGUGGUGUUACGUAACUAGAAUUAAACUAUUAAAUAUAGUCAAGGAACUUGAUUGUAUGCGCCUGAUUGACUUUUAAUAUGAUCCACAAUUAACCGAGGUUAAAUCUACACUAUAUUUUAUCCUCUCUCCUUUUCAAAAUGACUUUCUAAUAUUUCUUUUCUUUGCUCAUUAAAAUGGCACAUAGACCUAUUAAAAUACGACACGCAAUGGUGAAUAUUUUAUUUUGGAAGAAGGGGCUCAAAAUCACAUUGUUAGUUCUUCAUUAAAAUCGUGGAAAAAAGUUUUAUUUGCACAGUAUAACCCAGCUACUCCUGGUGACUCUACACAAAAUCUUCCCAGCUAGCUCAAAAAUUAUCAUGCCCUUGGCACUAUCAAUUUAAUAUAAUUUGAACUACUUCAUUUUCAAUUAGGAAAGUUUCUUAAUUAGUUGUCUAUAAUAGGUCAUGUUGACUAUAUUGAUUUUCUCAUUAUUCUACUUUAUUUAGUUUUUCUUGUUUAGAAUAUAGGCUGUAAUAUAUAUUAAGAGGACAAUGAUUAAUAAAAUUAAGCCUUUACAUAUUUCUUUUUGGUAUCAGAACCAACUAAACCCUAGCCUCCAACACUGCCUUCACAAUAGCCUAAACCCUAACCCACUAGCCACCAGCCAUAGGCCAACAACAGUCCUGCCUCUAUGCAUUCCCUGUGCAACCCAGUCCAACCAACAAUCACCAGACUCAACACUUGUAACAUCCUCUUCCCUUGUGCAGCCACCACUGCAGUCACCAGCAGCCCAACCCAACCCUCACACACAGAGCCCUUGCACAACAAGUCAUCUCGUGCAUAACCAUGCUUUGUACAGUCCAUCCUUGCGCCGUCUAGCACCGUUCAGGCCUUGCACAGGCAAGCUCUUGCACAGUCGCGCAGUCUAGCUUCGUUCAAGCCUCACACAGGCCAACGCAUACACCAUCAAGCAGUCCUGUAGGCCAGCCCAUGUGCCAUCCAGUAGCAUCAUAGUCCAGCAUAGCCGCAUAUUCCAGCAACCCCUACAUCGUCUAGUAGUCCUAUAGGCCAUCCCCUGCACUGUCUAGUACAUUUAGCAGCCGCGCAAUCUAGCACAGCCACACAGUCUAGCAACCAGUAGCCCCAUAAUCCAACAACCAGUAGUCAGUAGUCUAGCGCAGCCAUCAGUUGCACAGUGCAAUUCAGCCUCCAGUCAUUGCGUAGUCUAGUGUAGCCAGCAGUAGCUGCUCGUGCAGUCCAUAUAUCGUGAAGUCUAUAUGUCUGAUAGUAUGACACUUUAAAAAAAAUAUAUUCUCCUUUGAUUUCCUAAGAUUGAUUCUUGGUGUUACGUUGAUAGUUAACCCAGUCAAGGAGGUUGCCCCAGCCCAUAUGGUUUUGUGCCCAACUCCUAUCUACCUAUCUUUUAGUCCCACGGACGCUAUAGUUGCAGGUACUCUUAUCGCUUUUCAUGAUAAGUCAAGUCACCCCACUUGAAUUCUGAAUUUUGGAGCUAAUAAUAACAUGACUGGUGAGCUUUCUACUUUUACCUCUUCUAUUAGUUUCAUAAAUCAAUCUGUUUGUAUUGCUGAUGGACCAUCUAUUCCCAUUUAUAGUCAGGGUGAUGCCCACUUUUCCACAGAUAUUACUCUUUCCUCAAUUUAUUAUGCUCUGAAUUUUGCCUAUAAUUUUCUUUCUGUUAGUUGUCUUGCAAAAAACCUUAAUUGUGCCGUUGUAGUCUUACCAUCUCGUUGUUUCUUGCAGGACUUGAUUUCGAAGAAGAUUCUUGGCAGGGGAUAUGAGAGUGAUGAACUGUACUACUUUGGGGAUCCGCCAACAUCUAUUGCUUUGUCCUUCAAUCUUCAAGCCUCUACUCUACCAGUCUUAGAGCCCUCCAUUUUAAGUUAGUCUAUAUUAAAUUCGUUUGUUUGUUCUAUUAAAACUU